rnacentral:rRNA from 1 species
GCAAGUCGAACGAGAACGCUCCUUCGGGAGUUAUUAAAGUGGCGCACGGGUGAGGAACGCGUAGGUAAUCUACCCUUUGGCGGGGGACAACAUUCCGAAAGGAAUGCUAAUACCGCGUAAGACCACACUCACUACGGUGAGAGCGGUUAAAGGUGCCUCAAAGCACCACCAGAGGAUGAGCCUGCGUCCCAUCAGCUUGUUGGUAAGGUAAUGGCCUACCAAGGCGACGAUGGUUAGCGGGUCUGAGAGGAUGAUC